rnacentral:snRNA from 1 species
GCGCUUACUUCGGCAGCACAUACACUAAAAUUGGAAUGAUACAAAAAAAAAAAAAGAUACAGAAAUUAGCGUGGCCCCUGCACAAGGAUGAUAUGCAAAUUCAUAAAGCGUUCCAUAAAAAU